UAAAUACUCCGUCCUUCAAGAAAUACUUUUUGGAGAAAUAUAUGUAUCUAGACGUAUUUUAGUUCUAGAUACAUCCAUUUUUAUCCAUUUCUCCAACAAGUAUUUCUGGACUGAAGGAGUAGUAA
rfam:Triticum aestivum genome assembly, contig: Triticum_aestivum_CS42_TGACv1_scaffold_500644_6BL